CAGCAUGAGCCGACAGGACGUCGGCGAAAGGGCGUGCUGAGACAGGAUGUCGAUUCACGUCCGGUGCGGCCGGAA
rfam:Erwinia tasmaniensis strain ET1/99 complete chromosome.